rnacentral:rRNA from 1 species
GGACUACUGGGGUUUCUAAUCCCGUUUGCUACCCUAGCUUUCGCACCUCAGUGUCAGAUCAGGUCCAGUGAGCCGCUUUCGCCACCGGUGUUCCUCCAGAUAUCUACGCAUUUCACCGCUCCACCUGGAGUUCCGCUCACCCCUACCCGCCUCGAGUCCGCCAGUAUCACGCGCAAUUCCCCGGUUGAGCCGGGGGAUUUCACACGUGACUUAGCGCACCACCUACGUGCUCUUUAUGCCCAGUAAUUCCGAACAACGUUUGCACCCUCUGUCUUACCGCGGCUGCUGGCAC